rnacentral:rRNA from 1 species
CCUACGGGAGGCAGCAGUGAGGAAUAUUGGUCAAUGGGCGGAAGCCUGAACCAGCCAAGUAGCGUGCAGGAUGACGGCCCUACGGGUUGUAAACUGCUUUUAUACGGGAAUAACGCGCCUUACGUGUAGGGCUUUGCAUGUACCGUAUGAAUAAGGACCGGCGAAUUCCGUGCCAGCAGCCGGGGUAAUACUGAAGGUCCGGGCGUUAUCCGGAUUUAAUGGGUUUAAAGGGAUCGUAGGCCGCAUGUCAAGCGUGCUGUGAAAUGUUCGGGCUCAACCCGGGCCUUGCAGCGCGAACUGGCGUGCUUGAGUCCGCGGAAAGCAGGCGGAAUUCGUCGUGUAGCGGUGAAAUGCUUAGAUAUGACGAAGAACCCCGAUUGCGAAGGCAGCUUGCUGCAGCGGAACUGACGCUGAUGCUCGAAAGCGCGGGUAUCGAACAGGAUUAGAUACCCCUGUAGUC